GAGGGAGGGGGAUGACGUCAAAUCAGCACGGCCCUUACGUCCGGGGCGACACACGUGUUACAAUGGUAGGUACAGAGGGGUGCUACCCGGUGACGGGGUGCCAAUCUCAAAAACCUAUCUCAGUUCGGAUCGGAGUCUGCAACUCGACUCCGUGAAGUUGGAUUCGCUAGUAAUCGCGCAUCAGCCAUGGCGCGGUGAAUACGUUCCCGGGCCUU
rnacentral:rRNA from 1 species